UACGAAGGGGGCUAGCGUUGUUCGGAAUUACUGGGCGUAAAGCGUGCGCAGGCGGUUAUGUAAGACAGAAUGUGAAAUGCCCGGGCUUAACCUGGGAACUGCAAUUUGUGACUGCAUGGCUAGAAUCUGGCAGAGGGGGGUAGAAUUCCAACGUGUAGCAGUGAAAUGCGUAGAUAUGUGGAGGAACACCGAUGGCGAAGGCAGCCCCCUGGGUCAAGAUUGAACGCUCAUGCACGAAAGCGUGGGGAGCAAACAGG
rnacentral:rRNA from 1 species